AAUUCUCUAACCCUAAUGACUUUGGUUAGGAGGAGCUGUCGUCUCUUCUUCUUCUGAAACGGUUUGAGUAAAGAGGUGAGUUCAUGUUUACUCUCAUUCAUUCGCCCAUCCACUACGUAGUCUCCAAUGCGCUUUUUUCGAUCUGAAAGUCGGACCUCCCGUAUAAUUAAAUAUGUGUUUUUUUUCUCUGACCUAAGUCCGGCAAGUGCUCCUCCUUCGUCGAGGCUCGGCUCCUGCGGUUCUGGGAGGCCAGGAACGUCAAAAAGGGUGGGGAGCUUAUGUGGAUUGAUAUGCUGCUUGUGGAUGUAAAUCGACGUGAAUGUCAACCGUCUUGCUCCACCAGUAUGAGAUGGACACAUGGUGUUGUUUCGUCUCUCGCUCUAGGUGGACCAAGAAGCUUCAACUGACUGUCUUAGCCUUUACUUGCGUGACCUGCAACAACACUAAUUCUGUUGGUCUCUUCCGGGGCUGUGGAGCAUGAUCUUUAUGGCCUUCUGCAACUCCAGACGGGCAAUGAUGACGAUGGUGGUGAUAUGCCUGGAAUGAACUCAGUCUCUGCUAAGGUGGACGUUGGUGGUAGUGCUCUUGAGGGAGCACCGACUACAUUAUCAGGUCCAAGUGAUCUCGACACUAAGAAGCCUCCGACUCGAGCAUCUUUGAAGAUGGCCGAGAAAUUACGCAUGGCAUAGGUGAAGAUAACGAGAGCUCUGAAUGCAUUAUUUUUUAUUUGAAUAAUGGUAAUGCAUCAAUGUUGCUUAACGAGUUUUUUUUCUUUCGUUCUAUCAGUUUGGGUUUGGUAUGUUUUGUUCAGACGGUGUUUAAAAAUAUUUCUAAGAUUAAAUAAAUUGAUGUAUUUAUCA